rnacentral:lncRNA from 1 species
UUUCAUUUUGAAACUUACAAAAAUUAAGUAUUAAAAGUCAAUGAUAAGUAAAUAAUCUAAAGUUAGUUAAAAAAUGUUUUUAGGGGCUGGCCCAGUGGCGUAGUGGUUAAGUUCACGCGCUCCACUUGGGCAGCCCAGGGUUUGUGGGUUCAGAUCCUGGGCAUGGACCUACACACUGCUCAUCAAGCCAUGCUGUGGCAGCAUCCCACAUACAAAAUAGUGGAAGAUUGUCAAAAUAGUGGAAGAUGUUAGCUCAGCGACAGUCCUCCUCAAUCAAAAAGAGGAAGGUUGGCAACAGAUCUUAGUUCAGGGCCAAUCUUCCUGACACACACACGCAAAAUCUCUUUUGUCCCUUUGCUCCAUAGCUCAUGUGGCUUAUACAUAGUUUACAUGAUGCAAAUUCAACAGUGUACUUUGAUUUCUUUGGACUCUGCCAAAGUGUUUUUUUGGAAGAUACACUGGUUAUUCUCUAAUAACAGAUUUAAUCUUGCCUUUUUGAUUUCUAUUUCUCUUGCCACAUGAUGUGGACGUGAGUCUGAGUGUAGUUGUCUAUGGUCUAUUGGGCUCUUUCACAAAGCAAUAUAAUCUUAUCUUAAUGGCAAAAGAUAAGUAUGGUAAUAUGAUAGCAUUCCCUCUGCUAGUUUUAGCUCAGUUUUUACUCAGUAAUUUUACAUAGGGAUUGUCCUAGUCUCCUAAGCUUUUCCCUAAACAAAUACAUUAACAACCACUAAUUUGGCUGUCAUUCAGUCAUAUCUGUGGAACAUCACCAGGAAAACAUACCUUCACUAAGUGUUGACUUCCAUUUUGAAAACAAAAAUAGCUUGUAAGGGGCUGGCCUGGUGGUGUAGUAGUUAAGUUCACACACUCCGCUUUGGCAGCCCAGGGUUCGCCAGUUUGAAUCCUGGGCACGGACCUAGCACCACUUGUCAAGCCAUGCUGAGGUGGAGUCCCACAUAGAACUAGAAGCACCUACGACUAGCGUAUACAGCAACAUGCUAGGGUUUUGGGGAGAAAAAAAAAAGGAAGAUUGGCAACAGCUGUUAGCUCAGGGCCAAUCUUCCUCACCCCCUCACCAAAAAAAAAAAAAGAAGCAGAAAAGCAUGCCUUUAAAAAAAAUAGCUUGUAAGAGUAUGGCUCUAAAUAGAAAAUAUGUUUUACCCAUUUUCAUAGAUCAUUUUGGAAGAUAACCUAUUUACUGGAUAUAGAAUUCUGGGUCAACAGGUUUUUUCUUUCAACACUUUAGGAGGAAGAAUUAAGAAAAGACACUUCUUGGGGCUGGCCCCGUGGCCGAGUGGUUAAGUUCGCGCACUCCGCAGCAGGCGGCCCAGUGUUUCGUUGGUUCGAAUCCUGGGCACGGACAUGGCACUGCUCAUUGGACCACGCUGAGGCGGCGUCCCACAUGCCACAACUAGAAGAAUACACAACUAUGUACCGGGGGGCUUUGGGGAGAAAAAGGAAAAAAUAAAAAAAAAAUCUUUAAAAAAAAAAAAAAAA